CGUAUGCUUGUACAGUACGAUUGUAACCAGUCAGUACGAAGACGUAACAAGGAUUCCGUAGGUGAACCUGCGGAAGGAUCAUUA
rnacentral:rRNA from 1 species